rnacentral:rRNA from 1 species
UGGGGGAUAUUGCACAAUGGGGGGAACCCUGAUGCAGCGACGCCGCGUGGGUGAAGAAGCGCCUCGGCGCGUAAAGCCCUGUCAGCAGGGAAGAAAAUGACGGUACCUGAAGAAGAAGCCCCGGCUAACUAUGUGCC